UAGAGAGAAGGGAAUCAAGGCUUUAAAAAAAAGGUAUCUGCUCCCUUUGGUUCAGGUUUCUCUAUUACACACACGUGUGUGUGUGUGUGUGUGUGUGCGCGUGUGUGUGUGAGUGAUAGAGAAACCUGAACCAAAGUGAGAUAAGGCUUUUUUUUUAAAGGUGCUUCCCGUCUCUAAAGACAUUAGGCAGAAAUUCAUGACUGCUCCCAACCCUGGGAGAAACUGUGACACAAGGGAGCGGCUGGCAUUGUACUCUAAUGGGGAGGUGGGAUUGAACUAAGGGGUGAUGGUCUUUUGCGGGCUUGUUGAAGCCAACGAAUAUUUCCGAGGUGCUGCUCCCAGGAACACACUUAGUAGCUGAGGUAUCUAGACCAUGAUGGGCAAAACUCUCUCUUCAGUCACACUCGUUGCCAUCAGGAAGAUGACAUCUAAUAACCUUGGUGCAACCGAGGUGUUAUCUGGACCCUGCUAGAGGCACCUGUGGGGCCACACGGGUGUGUCUGAGGACGGGAUCUGGCAGGCAAAAACGAAGGGCUCCGAAGGCGGCACCCAGAGAGUCUUUCUCACUAUGGCUAUAAGCGUUUUUGAAUCCCACCACACUGGCAUUGCUGAUUUAACGAGACGGAGAAGCGGGGAAAGCACUUUGAAAUAAAGGAGUGAAAAAUAACAUGAAAAACGCCUCUCCCUCUCGCAUCCCAAUGCGAUCGGUGAUUAUUGGUUUUCCCCAGCAAGUUCUUUCUGACUGUGUGUCGUGACAGCCAUUACCUCUGCCUUGAGGAGUGGAAGACUUUCAUUUGAAGUGUUAUACGGGAGAUUCCAAAUCGGACGAGGACUCUCUUCUCACUGGGGAGGGAGCGAUCUGGACUCCAGCUGACAACGUUACCGUUCAGGAAACGCUCGUGGUUAACAGAAAUAACUCUCCAGCUGUUUAACAGUGCCGAUGUAAAUAGCUUGCAGCACCUCCGAGAUUAUUGUAAAGGUUAUUUUUAAAGGCCAAUAAAAGUCACCUAGGAAGAUUUUAGAGGGACAUAUUGUGUCCAUCUCCCGUGGCAGAUAAAUUGCUAGCGGGGCUGCGUGGAAGGUGCUACCAGCGGGGAAUAAAUAAUGUUCCCACUGCUGGUUAAAGCGCACCCCGCAGUAAUCCAGAGGACCAGGUGGGAAGUUCGAACAGGGACUGUUACUCCCAGGAGUUUGCACCCGUCCAUCUGCUAACCUGAACCUCCCGGGAUCGGCUCUGUCAGGUUCUAGGCAUAAAAAGGCACCUUUUGGUUUUUGCUUUAAUUGGAAGAAAAUGAACCCGGCGACGAUUCCAUAAGUUUAUGACGCCACAGACGAAUCGAUUCCUUGCGUUUAUGACGCCACAGACUGUUCAAACCGCCGCAGAGCGGACACACGUGCGGGGAACGGGCCAACCCAGGGGAAAGGGGCUGUUAGCGCUGGUGCACAGCUAGCUCCCCGGGCUGCCUGCACCUCUGCGGGAAUCUACAGGGCCACGUGGCAUUCACCGGAAGACUUGGGCUUUUCAUUAUCACUUCAGUUUCUCCUCUCUCAAUUAUUUUAGGACCGGCCCCUACUUCGGGGGCCGAGAUAGGGCUUGCGGGGGGGGGGAGUGGUGCCUCGAUGGCAAUCUGACUGCCGAUUCUCCUUCUCCUUGCAUCUUUUCACAUGGCAGGCGAAAAUCAGACUCUCGCAAGAGAACCAGGGUGCCUAGACAUCAGAUCCUCUGCCUUUCCUCCUCUUCCCGUCUUCCUCCACUGCCUCGUAUUUCUGUCGCUCCUUGAACGGGUUUCUUUGGGUGGGUGGAUGAGGGGAUCAUACUAUUGGGACAGUCCGGGUGGGAGGGGCAGGAUCUUCCGCAAGAACCGACGAGAUGCCAGGGUCCUGCUAGGCGGCGGCAGCCACAGGGGCAGCCUCUGGCCCUGGCCCGGUGAUGUGGGAGGCGGGCCGGGCUGCAGAGGCCGCGGAGGACAACGAAUACUCCCGGGGUCGCCCCAGGAGCAGGGAUCCCGCAGCCCGGCUUUCGCUCCGGACCCCUCGCAGGCGACUCCGCGCAGGACCCCGGCCACAGCCUCCCGCCCCGCCUGCCCGGGGCACCUGCGACCCGCCUGGCCAGGUCCCUGCUAUGUGGUGGAGAAGGGCUAUAUUGAACAUUAAACUUCUGAUGUCUUAUUAUCACGACAAGACAGGAAUUGAAAAUAGUACAGAACUGCAGGUUUGUACAUUGUCUCCAUCUGUAAUGAUAAACUAUUGAGUGCAUAAAUUCCUCCAGAUGAUUGUACUGCACAGUGGCAACUUUCUGGCAGGGGCUCCAGCCAACAUCAGGUUCCCAUUACACUAGAUGCUGUGCAAUCACAUAAUGAGAGAGAAUCCCAGCUUCUAAGAGCCUAUAAUUUCAGCAGACAGAGGAGGGAAAUAGUACUAUCCUAAUUUUACAGAUGUGGAACUGAGGCACAGAGAAAGCAGAUGACUCCCCCAAGACCACAAAAGAAGUCUGUGGCAGAGCAAAGUACUUUACCCAGAGCUGUAGAGUCCCAGUCAAGAGUCCUAACCACAGUUUCUCCUAUCUUUAUUCCCUUUUUGGAACCUGUACAUGCACUCAGAGCUUUGUGAUUUAAAAGGCUAUUUUAAGUUAAUAAUUUAAAUUAUUAUCUCAUUUAAUAUGCUUCAAGAUACUGAUAAAAAGAGUUGACAUUCUCUCAUAAAUGUAUAAACAGAUUUAU